GUAUAAGAUUGGGAAAACUGUCUUUAUUGAGGGCAUGAAUGUAAUGGCCUUAGGGGGACUUGAGGCCUGCUCAUGUCAAUCACCAUUUAUAAUGCAGGGUGUGCUGUAGCCACCACUGGAAUUCAGACAUGUCUGGGCAUCUCUGGCGAAUUGGUCCAGUGAGACAGGCAGGGACUCAGGAAUCUACUGGAAGACUCCUCAUCCUAUGGGGGCAGAAACCAAGCACCACGAUCUCAGCCACAUAACAGGGCCUUAGACUUCUGAGGGGAGGAGUGACGGUGUGAGCCCAGUGUCUGUCAGGCACGCCUGUCCCAGUCCUGGCUCCAUGCCCUAGCGAGAGAGAGAACUAGCUGCGAGUGUAAACUCCCAAGACGUGGGGCAGGAGCAUCUCUGCUUUGGUAGUCCUGAAACACUUCCUAACUGCACAUGUGGAGGGAGGCAUUCUCCUCCAUAUGGUGCCAUAGAUAGCUAGUAUCUGGUGGGUGAUGAGGCUAUUAUGGGAAGUCUUUGUGGGAGCCAAAUCAUCACUGAUCUAAAUGGUGGAGGGCACAUGCAGGUCAGUUCUGAGGACUCCUGGAACAACUCGGGUGGAGCUUGGUGGGGUGGGUAUCUGGGAUCUCACAUCAACAGGAUUACGGCAGCCACAAUAGUAAUUCCGCCUUGCAUUUUAUACCAGAAUGGGCUUUACAGAAAUUUUCACAUAUAUGUUCUUAUUUGCUCCUCAUGACCUCCCAUGUAGUAGAAGCAAGUGUAAUAAUCUUCCUCAGUACCAAGCGGGGCUGGACUCGACACCUUUGAGACCACUUCAGCUCCAUCACUCCACGGUUCUUGGGCAUUGUCCAAGGGCCCACCUUGGGCUAUUCAUUAAGUAGGCACACUUUAGCAGCUGUGAAGUCAAGACACAUGCAUUGCCUGGGGGCCUCCUCCCUGCCUGGGGUUCUGAACAGGAGACACAACCCUGGGAGAUUCCUUGCAAAAAGAUCUUUGCCUAGGCACAUUGUUUUCAGGUUAUCCAAAGUUAAGGUGAAGGAAAGAAUCUUGAGUUGUGAGACAGAAG
rnacentral:lncRNA from 10 species